rnacentral:tRNA from 1 species
UGAUGCGCGGCGCGAUGGUCGCGCCGCGGAUGGGCCCGGCGAGAACGAGACCCGGUCCGAUGCCGGGCGCAGCAG